rnacentral:lncRNA from 12 species
GCCUGUGAAGACAAAGGCAAUCCCUGGUCCUCUGACUCCGCCCUGAACUCUGGGAGGUGCUCCUCCUUCCCUGUGCUGGGGGAGGCCAGGUGCUGCCCGGCCCUGCUGGAGCUGCUGGAGCUGCUGGGCUGUGUGUGUCACCACCUCCCACCCCGUCCUUGGACCCCAGAGCGACUGGACCCGCACCACGUAGCUGCUGGCCGGGUCCGUGGCCCCACGCUGGGAAUUCAGGAGACAGGCCCGGCCAGAUGUGCCUCCCCUGCUGGACAAGGAAGUGGGGGUGAAAAUGCAGCCCCCAUCUCUGCAAGAUGGGGUCCCCCAGGAGGGUUCCAUUCAGUACAGACCCUCUUCUCCCUGCAGCUUAGGGCACCACUUCUCUGCACCUGGUGCUCAGCUUAUGCAGGCCAGGGAGCCCGACCAAACGAAUAUUGACUCAUGUCGGCCUCGAAGGCGUUUGACGCCCCAGCCUUGUUUUAAUGUAAUGGUUUGGGGAACUACGGAUUCCCUUCGGAUUCAGGCUGGUUUGGGAAGGGUCCCGCGGUCCCCUCCCUGCCCUGAUGGGAGCAUAGGUUUGGUAAGUGGCUCUCGAGAGAAAUUCGUAUCUGGGUUUGGUUCAAGAAUUAGCAAAGAUACGCAGUCCGCUCUGGUCUUGGGGUGAGGCUUUGGUUCAGAGAGAGGACAGGGCUGGCUGUGGAGCCCAGGAGGACACGGCCGCCACCGCCCACUGGGCCCCCCGCCGCGGCUUGGGGGGUCCUGUGCUGCAUUUAGAACAGGAGCCCUGGCCCUCAAACCCCAGUCAGUCUCCCAAGGGCAACACUGUUUGAUUGAUUUUGAAACUGUGACCGUGAAACGGUUAAUAAAAACCCGAUAGAUCUGCACGGAGGUGCUUUCCGCACUGCGCGGCCCCUGCUUAGAUGAGUGUGAUCCGUCACGGCCAGGCACGGACGCCCAGAGCGCCCUGCACGCAGGAGGGGGCUGUGCAACCACCGGGACCCCCGACUUCCCCCGUCUGCCCCUUGCCUCCAGGGAUGACGGAAACGUCUGCCUCUGCUGACACAGCUUCUCCGCUCUUUAGGACAAUGGUUCUCAAAGUGGGGUCCCCCACGCCACCACAGCAUCAUCACCUGAGAAAACUUCAGAAAUGCAAAUUCUUGAGCUCCACCCCUUGCUGCUCACCACCCCUGGGGCCCCCCACCUCUGCUCUGCAAAGCGCCCGCCACCCUCCGGGUCUUCGGCACCCGGGGCUUCCCACCGUGACUCUGGCUCUCUGUCUACGGUAUCUGACAAAUGCAGGAUCCUGGAGCCUGGCUGGUGUUCUGAAGAAUCCGAUGGCCUCAGCUGGGCCCGCUGCUCUCUGGGAAAAUCGUGAGGGACACAAGCAUUUGGUCACCCCCUGCAAACGUCCACUCAGGCUGCUGGCUCUUUGCUCAGCACGGGCCCAUCAGGUCCCCCAGCCUGGGCCACCCCUAGGUGUCCAGCAACUCUCAGCAUCCAAGGUGGGACAGCAGGUGGGGGAACAGCGGAAAGCUGGAGCUCGAGACAGGUGCACAGUGUGUAGAAGACAGAACCUGGCAUUCACGUCAGAUUUCCCUGUACCUGGGGUCUUCUCUGGAACGGCCUCCGUCAGUCACUUGCGGGUACCUGUUUUAGGUGUGUGUGGAAUGGGGACUGGUUUUCUUUUUUUUUUUUUUAAGGUUUUUAUCUUGAUUUCUUAUUUUUAAAAUAUUUUUAUUUUAUUUUUAUUUAUUCAUGACAGACACAGAGAGAGAGAGAGAGAGACAGAGACCCAGGCAGAGGGAGAAGCAGGCCCCAUGCAGGGAGCCCGACGUGGGACUCGAUCCUGGGUCUCCAGGAUCACACCCCGGGCCGAAGGUGGAGCUAAACCACUGGGCCACUGGGGCUGCCCGGGACUGGUUUUCUGAAAGUGGGAACGUAAAUUAAUCAAGAAGAGAGAGAGGAGACCCUCCCCUGUGGGUCUUGGAGGUCAUGUGGGCCUAGCUGGGCCCUGCUGGUCUGGAGACAGCCCCCGUGUAUCUCCAGGGCUUUUCUCAGAGCCCUUUCCACUUAAGGCUGGCUCCAGCAAAUCUGGCUUCUAGUUAGGUUUCCCCAGACCCACCUCCCCAACCCCGCCACCUCCUGAUCUCCGACCUCUGACCCCCACCCCCUCAACACACACCCAGGGGAAGCCUGUUCAUAGAGCUUACGUACUGCCUAGUAUGCAUGGGCUCACUUCCCUGGGGGUCUGAGCUUCAAACCUGUAUCCUAUUUAUGCCUAGAAGGCCGGUGACCCCGGAGAUGAGAUUUCAAGGUUUGCCCGAAAGCAUUUUAGGGUGUGACAUGUCUCCCCUGUCCCCCCAAUUUCAUCCCAUGUAGGGCUUUGUCUUUUCCUGUCUGCUCAGCACCAGCCCGGAGCAUGUGCCUUCAAUAAACACAGAAGCCUGUGGGAUCCA